rnacentral:rRNA from 1 species
CCCAGACUCCUACGGGAGGCAGCAGUGGGGAAUAUUGCACAAUGGGGGAAACCCUGAUGCAGCGACGCCGCGUGAGUGAAGAAGUAUUUCGGUAUGUAAAGCUCUAUCAGCAGGGAAGAAAAUGACGGUACCUGACCAAGAAGCCCCGGCUAACUACGUGCCAGCAGCCGCGGUAAUACGUAGGGGGCGAGCGUUAUCCGGAUUCACUGGGUGUAAAGGGAGCGUAGACGGCCAUGCAAGCCAGGGGUGAAAGCCCGGGGCCCAACCCCGGGACUGCCCUUGGAACUGCAUGGCUGGAGUGCGGGAGGGGCAGGCGGAAUUCCUGGUGUAGCGGUGAAAUGCGUAGAUAUCAGGAGGAACACCGGCGGCGAAGGCGGCCUGCUGGACCGCGACUGACGUUGAGGCUCGAAGGCGUGGGGAGCAAACAGGAUUAGAUACCCGGGUA